AUCGCUUCUCAGCCUUUUGGCUAAGAUCAUGGGUAGUAUCUGUUCUUAUCAGUUUAAUAACAGACUAACAAAAAGCUUAAAGGUAAAAUAUGAGGAAUGAGAUGAUGAGAUGUUCAUAAGCGUUUUGAAAAGUCUGCACAUAUUGCUGGGAAUCUAGAGGCCACAUGCAGGUGUAAGGCUGAGAGCAU
rnacentral:snRNA from 1 species